rnacentral:lncRNA from 1 species
AAAAAAAAAAAAAAAAAAAAAAAAAAAAAAAAAAAAAAAAAAAUUAGCCAUAGCUAGAUAUUCCAUAUCCUCGAUAGUAUAGUAUUAACUUGGUAGUUCUAGUUUCCUCAAAUUGUUGUGCAUUUGCAUUUAAUAUUGUUGGUGAUCGUGAAGAAGUUAACAAAUGGAGGCCAGAGUAUGAAGAUCGUGAAGAAGACUUACUCCUUGAUAACAACUUCUGUAUCACUUUAACUCUAAAUCAAGUUGACCUUUCUACUUUGUAAAAUCAAAUUAUAUGAUGACCUUUGAAUACUUUUUUUUGUUGUUGUUUUUUACCUAUAAGCUAAACCUUUGUGUUGUUUUACCUAUAUAAAUCAAGUACUAUGUAAUUUUACUGUUUAAAUUUGUUGAAAUUUUACAAUUCUACUAAAAAAAAAAAACAGAUACAAAAUCUCAAUCAAGUUGACCUUUCUACUUUGUAAAAUUAAAUUAUGACCUUUUUUUUUGUUGUUGUUGUUUUUUACCUAUAAGCUAAAACCUUGUGUUGUGUGUUUUUAAUUAAAUC